rnacentral:rRNA from 1 species
GAUCCUGGCUCAGGACGAACGCUGGCGGCGCGCCUAACACAUGCAAGUCGAACGGACACAUCCGACGGAAUAGCUUGCUAGGAAGAUGGAUGUUGCUAGUGGCGGACGGGUGAGUAACACGUGAGCAACCUGCCUCGGAGUGGGGGACAACAGUUGGAAACGACUGCUAAUACCGCAUACGGUGGUCGGGGGACAUCCCCUGACCAAGAAAGGAUUAUAUCCGCUCUGAGAUGGGCUCGCG